rnacentral:tRNA from 1 species
GGCCCGAUGGUCUAGUAGAAUGAUUGUUGUUUCGGGUAUGACAGGUCCCGGGUUCAAAUCCCGGUCGGGCCC